CGCCAAACUAUCUGCACUUAUGUGUUGCAGAAAUGGCGUACUCGAGCCAAAUCAGGUCGUGGUAGGAAGCGUAAGACGGAUGUGGAUGUGGAUGCAGAAGCAGCUGCAGUGGAGGAGAAGAAAGAAAAACUUGGAGUUGACAAAAAAGAUUAAGAAACAGGACAAAGGGUCGUCAUUGAGCAUUGCAAAAGCUGACGGGUCUAUGGGCGGAAUGCUGAAGGUGUGCGUGAGGCACUUGUGGCUUCGCACCCUGAACUUCGUGUGGUGCUCAAUCCUCAGAAACCUCGGAGGAACAGCUUUGAGAUCACUCUGAUGGAGGGAGACAAAGAGGUUAUUUUGUGGUCUGGCAUUAAGAAGGGUCCUCCACGCAAACUAAAGUUUCCUGAUCCCGCUGAAGUGGUUUCUGCUUUGAAGGAAGCGUUGAAGAGCUAGUAGAGGUUAUAAGGAGACAGUCAGUCAUCUUUGUUCCUGGACACUGGAUGCAUAAUGAUGUAAAUGGACUAAUGGGAAAAUCUCCCUGUCUGUUUUCUGAUGAUCGGCUCUGUUGUUCCAGACUGGAUAAUUGACCUCGCCUUGUUUCUUCUGUUAAACUCUCAAAGUCUUGUUCAUGUUCUUUUCUGACAUGAUUAUUUUUACAUUGCUAGUUCCUGUCUCUGUACUCACUGUUAAUGUUUGGUCAAUCACUUUUUUUUUACCGUUUGUGCAUUAUGAUAAUGCUAAUUCUUAGUCAAAUAUAUAAAGUCUAGAGUAUAGUUAAAUGAUGUGGCUAAAGUUGAUCAAAUCGGACAGAUUUGUGGUCUGUCUGCCUCUCUCUCUAUAAAAUCACCACUGCCUUUUGUAAUUUUACUUUCGAGGCAUGCAUUUCCUUUUUGCGCUGAUUUCUCAAAAUUAUGUUUUUGCUAAGCUAGUUAUAAAAUCAAAGUACAGAAACAGGUCAGUAUUGUACCCUGGUGUGACUAAAGGCUUAUUAGCACAUAAAUUAAGACUUCAAUAUUAAGAUAAGCCUAAAACAAGAUUUUCUAAUGUUGAGCUACUUCUUUUGCCCAGUAUGUUGUGGUUUCCUUUUAUUUUGGAUAUUUCUUAAUAUCUAAUAUUCAAUUUUAUAGGCUGUAACCAAUACAAUCCCUUUGUCAGCAUUAUGAUUUCCUAAACAUGUGCUUUAAAGAGUAAUGUACAACAAAAACUUAACACCUCAGUACAGUUUAAAGAAAGCUUUAUUGUCAAAUCAAGAUGUUGUCUGCUGCAAGCAGUAAGUGCUGUGAGUUAAGACUUAAUCGACUGAUAGCAUUAUGGUUCCAAAAGCUUUUCUCUGAAUAGAGCUGGAAUAAAAACUGCA